rnacentral:piRNA from 1 species
UCAGCUCCCAGACAAACCGAACUUUGAGA